rnacentral:rRNA from 1 species
GAUGAACGCUGGCGGCGUGCCUAAUACAUGCAAGUCGAGCGAACGGACGAGAAGCUUGCUUCUCUGAUGUUAGCGGCGGACGGGUGGGUAACACGUGGAUAACCUACCUAUAAGACUGGGAUAACUUCGGGAAACCGGAGCUAAUACCGGAUAAUAUUUUGAACCGCAUGGUUCAAAAGUGAAAGACGGUCUUGCUGUCACUUAUAGAUGGAUCCGCGCUGCAUUAGCUAGUUGGUAAGGUAACGGCUUACCAAGGCAACGAUGCAUAGCCGACCUGAGAGGGUGAUCGGCCACACUGGAACUGAGACACGGUCCAGACUCCUACGGGAGGCAGCAGUAGGGAAUCUUCCGCAAUGGGCGAAAGCCUGACGGAGCAACGCCGCGUGAGAGAUGAAGGUCUUCGGAUCGUAAAACUCUGUUAUUAGGGAAGAACAUAUGUGUAAGUAACUGUGCACACCUUGACGGUACCUAAUCAGAAAGCCACGGCUAACUACGUG